rnacentral:rRNA from 1 species
UACGUAGGGCGCAAGCGUUGUCCGGAAUUAUUGGGCGUAAAGAGCUCGUAGGCGGCUUGUCACGUCGGGUGUGAAAGCCCGGGGCUUAACCCCGGGUCUGCAUUCGAUACGGGCUAGCUAGAGUGUGGUAGGGGAGAUCGGAAUUCCUGGUGUAGCGGUGAAAUGCGCAGAUAUCGGGAGGAAUACCAGUGGCGAAGGCGGCCUUCUGGACGGAUACUGACGCUGAGGCGCGAAAGCCAGGGGAGCAAACGGG